AUUCAACAAAUACUUUUUUGCCAGGUAC
rnacentral:piRNA from 1 species